AGAGUGGCAGACGGGUGAGUAACGCGUGGGAACGUGCCUUUCGGUUCGGAAUAACUCAGGGAAACUUGAGCUAAUACCGGAUACGCCCUUCGGGGGAAAGAUUUAUUGCCGAAAGAUCGGCCCGCGUCCGAUUAGCUAGUUGGUGUGGUAAUGGCGCACCAAGGCGACGAUCGGUAGCUGGUCUGAGAGGAUGAUCAGCCACACUGGGACUGAGACACGGCCCAGACUCCUACGGGAGGCAGCAGUGGGGAAUAUUGGACAAUGGGCGCAAGCCUGAUCCAGCCAUGCCGCGUGAGUGAUGACGGCCCUAGGGUUGUAAAGCUCU
rnacentral:rRNA from 1 species